UGUCUCAGUGAUGUGCGUGUGUGUGCAGA
rnacentral:piRNA from 1 species